CCAUCUCUGUUGACUCCCCUUUUUACUUCUUCUUCUUUUCUUUUUCUUCAUUUUUGCAAUCAAGUUGGGGCUGCAGAUCAGCUCACUGCCCCGCUACACGACUGCUCACUCACUCUCUGCAACUUCUAAGCCCCUACAACUGCCACCUUGCCAUCUCCAUCACCUGCAUCUUCAUGAUCUUCACACCUUAAUUACCAUCACCUAGAUUCUACUCUGGGCUGCCUGUUCUUCUUGGGGAAAAAAAACAGAGAGAAGAGAUCAAGGGAAAAAAGGGGGCUCGGCUGGCUCGAUCUUUGGUCAAGCUUCCUCUCCUUUUCCCUGCCAUCUUUAUCAUUGGGGACCACUGCCAUCAACCUUCUUCUUCUUCUUUUGGGGAAGGCAGCAUCAGAUUAGUUGGGAGGAAGCUGCAAGACAGAUUGCUCCUCUUUCUUCCCUCCUCUAAUACCCCAUUCUUCCUCAUCACAAUUUUUUGUCAUCACCCACUCCUUUCCUUUCCCUUAUUCUUCUUCAUGGUUCCUCUGCUGAAGAGGUGGCUGGAUCACCAGGAAAACAUCACUAGCUCUAUCUCUCGGGCCCUCUCAUUCCACCAACAUCAUCAUCAUCAAAACAAAUAGCAAUCUCGAUCUUGGGGGGGGGAUCUUGGGGACCUUCUGCAGCUCCUUAUCCAUUCCCCUCUCCUCAUCUCCUUCACGUCACCAGGAUCCUCUUCAUGCAACCAUAGCUUGCUCUUUCCCAAGAUCAUGACCACUUCUCGACCUACUCCAUUACAUAACAAGCUUUCUUUCCAUACCAUCACCAUCAGUAGCAUCUACUAGCCCUUCUCAAGCUGUUGUAACCGCUGUGCUGAGGAGCUACUGUUCCUCUCCUUCUCGAGCUCCCGAGUCCCUGCUAUGCUCCCCGUUUAUGCUUGUUGUCUCUUUCUCCGAGCUGUUGUUGCUUUCCUUUCGUCUCUCCUUGCAGGUUGUUGUUGUUGCCCGUCCCUUUCUCGAUCUCACCAUGCCGUCUGGCAGACACUCUCGGAGCUCGAUUGCAACCUUUCUUCCUCUCCAAGUGGCUGUUGUGUUACUGCAUAUGAUUGCACCCCCGGGCUCAACUUUACUAGCUCCUCCUCCCCUCAUUCCUUUGCUGCGGACCGAUGCUUGCUAUUGACACUUUGUUUGUGAAACUGUUGUUGCUUUCCUUUCUUCUUCCUUGCAGGCUUCUCUCGAGGUUGCUACGGUCAUGCCCUUUUGAAUCCCUUGAGCUAUUGAUGUUGCUACUCGGUCCAUUUUUCGAGUUCUCUGAGCUGUCAUUGUUUCCAUUUAGCUCUAGUCGAUCAUUUGGAGCUUAGACGUUGUUGCUUCCCUGAGCUGCUGCUGCACUAUGGUGUCAAGCCCGAUUAGCUCAUUGUUGCCCUAGUUCGAUGGACUCUCGAGGUCGCACAAGCCUCCCAACAUUUGCUCGGGAAAGGUCGGGCCCAACUCCAUAGGAUACGGUUGGCACGGGGUCCAAUGCCCCAAUCAUUGAUCACGGGAUCCAAUGCCCCCCAUACACUAAGCGCGCAUAACCUGAGCGCGACAUGGGGUCAAACCUCGAGUCUUCAUUUCAAACCUAGUAGUAUCUAAGCGGAGGAUGACUCUGGUCGGGAUGCAUGAAAUGAGGUUAGACAAUUACCUGGAAGCUCGACCGGUCUCACAGCUAUCUUGAGGACCAUUCUGUCCUCUUGGGAUUUGUUAGUUCGGUCGGACCUUACCUCCAGCUCUCAUGAGCUAGCAUCGCAUUAAUUUCAGUUUCGAUCUUUCCAACCUAACGGCGAGCAGGACUGGAAUAUUGACCGAACGAAGGCCGAUCGGGAUCCAUUUGUUAUAAUUUGUAUUUAUUAUUUGAGAGCAUAUUGUGAAUCAUUUAUUUAUACAUUCAUUUAUAUAACGAUC